GCCUCGGUAGCGCAGUAGGCAGCGCGUCAGUCUCAUAAUCUGAAGGUCGUGAGUUCGAACCUCACCCGGGGCA
rnacentral:tRNA from 2 species